GGGGCUGCACCGGUUUCGACGUGGGUUCGGACGCGCAGCAGGGCAUGCCGAGGUUCUGUCACCUCGUAAAACCGCAGAAACAAACCAACUGCCAAUACUGAAGCAGCAAACGACAAAGCUUUCGCCCUCCAGGCCUAAGUAGAGUCGUUCGGGGCUUAACCUCCCCGAUCCUCGCAACAGCUCGUCGAUGGGCUGCGCCGAGGGCCGCAAGGCCUGAAGCCGCGAGGUCAUUCACAUCGACUGGUUCCGCGCCGGGCAGCUUGGCGCGGGAUGAGAUCCAAGGCUGCUGGUUGACCGGGUAGCGUGCCACUGCGCGAUCCGGCCGGCGAGACCCAAAACAGACGGCUACGCAUGUAGAACUGCUCGAAGAAGGCUUGCGGACGGGGGUUCAAUUCCCCCCAGCUCCACCA
rnacentral:tmRNA from 2 species